rnacentral:rRNA from 1 species
ACGAACGCUGGCGGCAUGCCUCACACAUGCAAGUCGAACGAGACCUUCGGGUCUAGUGGCGCACGGGUGCGUAACGCGUGGGAACCUGCCCUUAGGUUCGGAAUAACUCCCCGAAAGGGGUGCUAAUACCGGAUAAUGUCUUCGGACCAAAGAUUUAUCGCCUUUGGAUGGGCCCGCGUUGGAUUAGCUAGUUGGUAGGGUAAAAGCCUACCAAGGCGACGAUCCAUAGCUGGUCUGAGAGGAUGAUCAGCCACACUGGGACUGAGACACGGCCCAGACUCCUACGGGAGGCAGCAGUGGGGAAUAUUGGACAAUGGGCGAAGGCCUGAUCCAGCAAUGCCGCGUGAGUGAUGAAGGCCUUAGGGUUGUAAAGCUCUUUUACCCGGGAUGAUAAUGACAGUACCGGGAGAAUAAGCUCCGGCUAACUCCGUG